UGCCUCAGCACACAGUACGCCGACAGACUGCAAGACCGAGAGAAGAAUUAUGCAGAAAGAUAAUAUUCUCUGACCCAGCAUGCUGUUCAGCAACACUGAAUUUACUGGAAACACAACCAAUACUGUGUGGCAUCUGGGUCUACUUCAACUGAAGUCAUUUUGAAGAGUACAAGUCACUGAAGGAAUGGCCUUAUGUCUGAAAAUCUUGGUCGUCUUUGCCCUUGUGGUGACUGUGUUUAUUUUGGAAACA